UACGUGGGCCAGUUAUGUAUUUAGCCAAUAGAAAACUAAACUUGUAGCCUUCGUUUGUAUUUCCUUAUAUACUGACAUUGACAGUGGCCGUUACCAGCAUUUGACGGUCGCCAGCCGGCUAAUUGAAGUGCCGCUUACGGUGGUGAAGUUAAGAUGAGGAGUUUGGUUGGAGUUAUUGGAAGGUCCUUCUUUUUGUCAAGGUUUCUUCUUUUUCUUCCUCAAAGAAUUAGGGUUUCUCCCAUUAAGAGUUGUAUGAUAUCCAUCCCAGUUGGUUCCCCCUGGAUGUCUUCACUUGUUGAGGGUGUAACUGAAGUUAUUGUCAAUUAUAAGUUAAUUGCAACCCAGGCAUCUCUAAAUGAGGAUGAAGUUGCAGAGGCUUACUUGAACAUAAUUCUUGCUGCCAUUCAAAACGCUCCAAGCUCCAUUGAAGAAAUUUGCACUGGUUAUCUUCAUAAGCUAUGCAAUUCCGGAAGUCUUUUUGUUGCUGUUAGAUUGCUGCAAUCUUUACAGAAUAGAAAUAUCACCCUUGGUCCUAAUGCUUAUAAUCUUGUUAUGGAAGCAGCAGGUGAAGCAAAUAAAGCUGACAUUGUAUCUCGGGUUUUCAAGGAUUUAAUGAUGUCUUGUAAAUCUUUGCCUUCAAGUUCUUUUAUUAAUCUUGCAAGGGGUUUCAUAAACACAAAUGAUCAUGUUCUGUUAAUGAAAUUUGUUAAAGAAGUAUUGGAGCUGGCUUUUCCAAGAAGUAUGGUGGUCAUAAAUAGAAUUAUAUUUGCCUUUGCUGAAUGUAGGCAGUUUGAUAAGGCCCUGCUGAUAUUUGAUCAGAUAAAGGAUUUAGAAUAUAAGCCAGAUUUGAUCACAUAUAAUAUGGUUUUGCAUAUUUUAGGUCGUGCUGGUCGAGUUGAUGAAAUGCUCUAUGAGUUUUCUUCCAUGAAGGAAGCAGGAAUAGUCCCAGAUUUUAUUUGCUACAAUACAUUAUUAAACCAGUUGCAGAAGGCAGGAAGAUUGGAUUUGUGUUUGGUAUACAUAAGGGAAAUGGGUGAGAGUGGCAUUGAAGCAGAUUUGCUUACAUAUACUGCAUUGAUUCAAAGUUUUGGCAAGUCAGGGCACAUUGAGGAGUCCUUGAGGCUCUUUGAUGAUAUGAAGACAAGGCAAAUCCGUCCGUCAAUCUAUAUAUAUCGAUCUUUAAUCAAUACUGCAAAGAAAAUGGGAAAAGUGGAGUUGGCAAUGACCCUUUUAGAGGAGAUGAAUGCAUCUCCUCCGAAUCUGGCUGGUCCAAAUGAUUUCAAACGGAAAAGGAGGUAGUUAAACUCAUUAUUUUCUGAAUUAUGACGGAACUUUCCGAGUUCACAACUUUAUAAGUUAAAUCAAGGUUCCUGUGAGGGGUUGUGGUUUAAGUGACAAGGCUUAACUCCCUAGUGAUUUGGUGGAAGGUCAAAGGCUCGAGUCUCUUGACAGUUAUGGGAUGUGACUAGUGAGAUUUAUCUGUUCAGUGGCUGUUUUCUGUUGUGCCUUCUUUGUGCUGGGGUCAGUCUAUCAGCUCAUUGCUCAACCUUGACUUAAGGGAGCACUUGACUGUGCUGUACCUCUAUUGAUCCAUUGUUAGUGCGGUGGAGCACAUCUCCCAUUAUAUGAUGCUACUCCAUGGAAAGCAUAGUUCCCAACUAAUUUUAAUCAGUUGUUAAUAACUCAAUCGAAGGUAAUAGAAUAAGGUGGUUCCUGGAACUGGAUUUCAUCACCUGAUGACAAACCUUGAACUUUUAGAAACUUCUUUUAAAAGUUUUGCCUGCUUAGAAACAUUUUUGUUGUAUUACUAAAUUGUUGUAAAUGAAAGUGUAGAAGCACAUAGCAUUAUGCAACCAAUCUGCAAAAAUUGAGAAAAAGGUAUGAAAUUUUAGAUAUUGAAUUGCAGCUUUUCAUUUCAGUUUAGUGUGUUUGUAUUUUGUGGCAAGUGAUGGGUACACUACCUGUAAGGUAAAGUAAUUCUAAUACUUUUAUCUGAAUAUUGAAGAUUCCCUUGAAGGAAACUAUGAAGUAGUUCAAGAA